AACGAACGCUGGCGGCAUGCCUAACACAUGCCAGUCGAACGAGACCUUCGGGUCUAGUGGCGCACGGGUGCGUAACGCGUGGGAAUCUACCCUCAGGUUCGGAAUAACUCAGAGAAAUUUGAGCUAAUACCGGAUGAUGACGUAAGUCCAAAGAUUUAUCGCCUGAGGAUGAGCCCGCUUAGGAUUAGGUAGUUGGUGAGGUAAAGGCUCACCAAGCCGACGAUCCUUAGCUGGUCUGAGAGGAUGAUCAGCCACACUGGGACUGAGACACGGCCCAGACUCCUACGGGAGGCAGCAGUGGGGAAUAUUGGACAAUGGGCGAAAGCCUGAUCCAGCAAUGCCGCGUGAGUGAUGAAGGCCUUAGGGUUGUAAAGCUCUUUUACCCGGGAUGAUAAUGACAGUACCGGGAGAAUAAGCGCCGGCUAACUCCGUG
rnacentral:rRNA from 1 species